GAGACAUGGUCCAGACUCCUACGGGAGUUAGCAUCAGGGAUCUUGCCAAUGAGCGAAAGCUUGAAUUGCAGCGAACGCCGCGUGAGGGAAACGGCCUGCGGGUUGUAAACCUCUGUCAGGAGGGACGAAACCACCUUCGUGGUGCUGACGGUACCUCCAAAGGAAGCCCCGGGCUAAUUACGUGCCAGCAGCCGCGGUAAAACGUAAGGGGCUAGCGUUGUCCGGAAUUACUGGGCGUAAAGAGCACGUAGGCGGCCUAGCAAGCGGCAGGUGAAAUCUCACGGCUCAACCGUGAAACUGCUUGCCGAACUGCUGGGCUAGAGUGCGGGAGAGGACAGUGGAAUUCCUGGUGUAGCGGUGGAAUGCGUCAAUAUCAGGAAGAACACCUGUGGCGAAGGCUGCUGUCUGGAACGCGACUGACGCUGAGGUGCGAAAGCUAGGGUAGCGAACGGGAUUAGAUACCCCGGUAGUCCUAGCCGUAAACGAUGGACACUAGGUGUUGGAGGUUUCGACCCCUUCAGUGCUGCUAAGCAAACGCGUUAAGUGUCCCGCCUGGGGAGUACGGCCGCAAGGUUGAAACUCAAAGGAAUUGACGGGGGCCCGCACAAGCGGUGGAGCAUGCGGGUUAAUCGGAUGAUACGCCGAGAACCUUACCAGGGCUUGACAUGUUUCUGACCGCCUAUGAAAGUAGGUUUCUUGCGCAAGCAAGCGGAAUCACAGGUGGUGCAUGGUUGUCGUCAGCUCGUGUCGUGAGAUGUUGGGUUAAGUCCCGCAACGAGCGCAACCCUCGCCAGAUGUUGCCAGCGGUUCGGCCGGGCACUCUUCUGGGACUGCCCGAGUAAUCGGGAGGAAGGAGAGGACGACGUCAAAUCGGCAUGCCCCUUACGUCCUGGGCUGCACGCGUGCUACAAUGGCGAGUACAACGGGUAGC
rnacentral:rRNA from 1 species